rnacentral:tRNA from 3 species
GGCGGACGUGGCCAAGCGGAUGAAGGCAGU